GAGUGAACGCUGGCGGUAGGCCUAACACAUGCAAGUCGAACGGCAGCACAGUAAGAGCUUGCUCUUACGGGUGGCGAGUGGCGGACGGGUGAGGAAUACAUCGGAAUCUACUUUUUCGUGGGGGAUAACGUAGGGAAACUUACGCUAAUACCGCAUACGACCUACGGGUGAAAGCAGGGGAUCUUCGGACCUUGCGCGAUUGAAUGAGCCGAUGUCGGAUUAGCUAGUUGGCGGGGUAAAGGCCCACCAAGGCGACGAUCCGUAGCUGGUCUGAGAGGAUGAUCAGCCACACUGGAACUGAGACACGGUCCAGACUCCUACGGGAGGCAGCAGUGGGGAAUAUUGGACAAUGGGCGCAAGCCUGAUCCAGCCAUACCGCGUGGGUGAAGAAGGCCUUCGGGUUGUAAAGCCCUUUUGUUGGGAAAGAAAAGCAGCAGGUUAAUACCCCGCUGUUCUGACGGUACCCAAAGAAUAAGCACCGGCUAACCUCGUG
rnacentral:rRNA from 1 species